AAGACUAUACUUUCAGGGAUCAUUUCUAUAGUAUGUAACUAGAGAAGUUGCUCUGAUCGUAUAGCAUCUGAAGCCACGAGGAGCCAGAGCGUCCUCUCCUGAGCGUGAAGCCGGCUCUAGGUGUUGCUUCUGCAACUGCCUUUGGUCACUGAUGAUCGUUCUUCCUUUCCUCUGGAAAGCGUAGAGGGAGAGAAUGCAAAAAAA